CAAAAACAUCGCCUCCCGCAAAAAUCAACGUAUAGGAGGUCUUGCCUGCCCAGUGACUAUAAGUUAAACGGCCGCGGUAUUUUGACCGUGCAAAGGUAGCGCAAUCACUUGUCUUUUAAAUGAAGACCCGUAUGAAUGGUAGAACGAGGGCUUAACUGUCUCCCCCUUCUAGUCAAUGAAAUUGAUCUACCCGUGCAGAAGCGGGUAUAAUUAUACAAGACGAGAAGACCCUUUGGAGCUUAAGAUAAAAGACCAACUAUGUUAAAAGUCCUAAAAACCUAAACCAAGUAGCACUGGUCCCAAUCUUCGGUUGGGGUGACCGCGGGAGAAAACAAAGCUCCCACGCGGAUUGGGGAGAUCCCCUAAAACUAAGAGAGACAUCUCCAAGGCACAGAAUAUCUGACCAAAAAGAUCCGGCUACCCGCCGACCAACGAACCAAGUUACCCUAGGGAUAACAGCGCAAUCCCCUUCCAGAGUCCAUAUCGACAAGGGGGUUUACGACCUCGAUGUUGGAUCAGGAUAUCCUAAUGGUGCAGCCGCUAUUAAGGGUUC
rnacentral:rRNA from 1 species